UUAGUUUAAUUGGUAGAGCGUUAAACGGAUACUUUAAUGGUCGAAAGUUCAAUCUCUUUCA
rfam:Ascaris lumbricoides genome assembly, scaffold: ALTE_scaffold0003425